rnacentral:rRNA from 1 species
CUACGGGUGGCUGCAGUUAGGAAUAAUCUACAAUGCGCGCAAGCGUGAUAGUUUGAGCCAGAGUGCUUUUCAACGAAAAGCUUUUGUGAAAUGUAAAAAGUUUCUCGAAUAAGGACUGGGUAAGACUAGUGCCAGCCGCCGCGGUAAUACUAGCGGUCCAAGUCGCAGCCAUUUUUAUUGGGUCUAAAACAUCCGUAGCUUGCUUAAUAAGUUUCUUGUGAAAUUUCAUGUCUUAAAUGUGAAGCGUGCAAGAAGUACUGUUAAGCUAGAGACUGGGAGACGUAAGAAGUACGUUCAAAGUAACGGUAAAAUGUGUUAAUCUUGAACGGACUAACAAUAGCGAAGGCAUCUUACGAGAACGGUUCUGACAGUCAGGGAUGAAGGCUAGGGGCGCAAAACGGAUUAGAUACCCCAGUAGUC